CACAGACAUCUGGAAAACACUGGCUUUGCUUGCCUAUUUUUUUUUCCCCUAAGUGUCUAAGAAAGCAUGUAACCCUGCAAGGAUGUACACAGGAGGAUGCAAAUAUCAGUUUAUGUAAUGCAGCACAGCUUACAGCAGUACAAUCUACAUCACGCCUUCAGGGUCCCCAGAAGACUGAAUAGUAAGUUCAGUGUCUGAAACUCAUUCAUUCCUUGGAGAGUCGUUAGAGCUCACCAGACUUCCAACAAAAACCAUUGCCUCUGUGAAGAAGAUGCUGUCCAUCAGCAUUGCAUAAACUUUGCAUCUGCUGCAGUAUGUGUCAGACCAGAGCUGACUUAAUGCAGCAGACUGACAGAGAAAUCUUUGCUACACAAAUGAAAUAAAUAAACAUUUAUUUCUUACA
rnacentral:lncRNA from 1 species